rnacentral:lncRNA from 1 species
CUUUCCUGCAGUGUUGCCUCUGUUCUAAUGUAUAGUUGUUGGUGAUGCAGGAUUUAAUAUAGGGAAAGUUCUGGAAAAAAUGAAGGAAAUCUUGCUGCUGACUUUAUCAGUGGCUUGGCAACUUAUUGGGAGACAUUAACGUUCUGUUGAUUCAUCUGUGCUAUCAAAGUUUGGGGUUCUGAACAAUGCAGUGGCUUACAGAACCUGCUCAGACUUUUUUAUUUCCUUUCAUCCCAGUGCAGAUGCUGCUGUCCAAACAGCCUUUGGGGAAAAUUUCCUUUGUGGGACACGGACAUGACAGUGGAAAUAGCUGGAGCCUGCUGAAGGUUCAGAAAGAAAAGGAGUUCAUCAGCAUGUCUUUCAGAAGAGUAACAGGGAAAUGCAAUAGAAAUACAGAUGAUUUCAUCUUAUGUUCAAAGUUACCACACCAUAAGAUGGUUAUGCAGGUAAGUUUUUUCUCUGUUAAAUGA